rnacentral:lncRNA from 1 species
UAUGUAUGUAUGUAUGUAUGUAUGUAUGUAUGUAUGUAUGUAUGUAUGUAUGUAUGUAUGUAUGUAUGUAUGUAUGUAGUUGUAUACGUACAAUUUUUUUCUGCGUAUAUAGGAACUUGAACUUUUAUGAAAAAGUAAACAACGUGGGUUAACUGGAUAUAUUUUAGAAAACGUAAUUUCAUCAAAUUUAGAGUUUUGAACAAAAAAUAAAUUUUUAUUCUUUAAAUAUUUAGUUGUUACUUUUACAUUAAUUGCAAUUAAUAUAUACUUAUUACAUUUAUACAAAUUAUUACUACAAGAUGAUACAAUUCACUUAUGAAAAUAUUUUACAAUUCGUCACAAAUUGUCACAAGUUACGGCAGCCAAAUUAUAUGUGUUUUAAGUACAUUACACAGCUGUUUAUUCUUGCGUAUUACAAAUUUAUUGCAAACACUACAAAUAACAAUGGGUAUACAUUCUAAAAUAGACAUCAGAAUAAAAUAACAUGGCUUACGAAAAAAAAAUAACCUUAUAUCUAGAUCAAAAAUCUAUUUAACUGCUCCUUUAGCCUAGAGAGAGAAGAAGACAAACUUCUCGGUAUAAACCUAAAAAUAUCUUGGUAGUGGAGAAGUAGUUUAGCUUGUAAAACAGUUUGGUGCAGAGCCUGGUUAGCCCGCAAAACCUAAAAAAUUAUGAUUAUCUCUUGCAUAAGCUUAAUAGUGGAGGCUUAUCAAAAGUUUAUGAUCACAUGAUAUCAUGCCUCACAACUACAAAAAAAAAACUAAGUUCAACCUACGGAUUGUAUGAUCGGGAAGCCAUGAAGAAAAAACAGUGAAAACAAUGUCAGCAUAAGCUAAGCGGCAUUCAUAUGCAAUAUCAGUAGAAAAAAAUUAAUCAUUUCAAAAAAGUGUAUUGUAAACAAGUUGGACGCCCAAAAAUUUAAGAAAAGUUGAUUGUUCAUACAAUUCAUAAACUUGAAGACUGGGGCUUUGCGAUAGAUCAUUGCAAUGUUGCGAGUAUUGUGCAAGAUUACAUAAACAGUUGUGGUAGAGUCAAUACCUUUAAGAAUGGCAAGCCUGGAAUUGAUUGGAUGGGUGGUUUUGAGGAAAGAGAAAAAUGAACUUAUUCUUUGGAUUGGACAAUCUCUUCCUGCUAACCGCGCGUAUGCAUGCAAUGUAGUUGAUGAAUUUUAAAAAAUUAGCAGUUGUUAUUGGGGCAAUUCAUCUACAGAAUAAGCCACAAAAUAUAUAUUUAGCGUAGAUGAAACAGGAUUUAAAAUCAAUAUAGGCAAGCAGAAAAUUCUUUGCAAACGCAGAUUAAAGAAUCCACAUAAAACGGUCGGUACUUCAACUAAAAACAAUGUUCACAGUGCAGGUAUGCUGUUCAGCAACCGGUCAAUUUUUAUCACCCAAUAUUGUUUAUAAAGGUCUUCACCUUUACAGUACCUGGUGCAAUGGCGGUCCGGACAAUUCACCUUACAACUGUUCUUCUUCAGGUUGGAUAGGAUCCCCCUAAUUCAUUGAAUGGUUUGAAAAAAUAUUUAUCGUCAAAACAAACCAAUUAGAUGGAUCGAAGCUUUUAUUAUUUGACAAACACAACUCUCACAUAUAAAAAACUAUUGAAGACGUAACUAUUGCAAACAACAUUGAGCUACUUUGUUUACCUGCCGAUACAAGUAGUAUUUUACAGCCUUUAGAUGUAGAUGUUUUUAAGACAGUCAAAGCAUCUUGGAGGAACUGUUUGAAAAUAUUUUAUGAUUCAACACGAUAAUUUUGGUAAAAUAACUUUUCCACAACUGGUGAAAUUGGUUACAGUCAGUGGGGCAUUCAGUCAAAGCAAUACUAUUAUAGCUUUUAAAACUUAUGGAAUUUUUUCACAAAAAAAAAGUAAAAUAACCAGUGAUAAAUUGCCAACAGCAGAGCCUCUGACAUCGGGUGUAAUUAUUAGAGCAAGUAAUAACGGAAAUUAAAAUAAGAUUACCGGCAAUCAGUGACAUGAAUAAUAUAAGCUCCAUACCAAUACGAGUCAUAAGCUCAGAUGAAAUACAGGAAGUUCUUUCUCCAAGAAAACAACAAGAAGCGGUACUUUGGAAACAUCUUCGAUACACGCAACCUGUGAAAAGCGACAAAAAAAAGAAAAAGAAUCAAAAGAACAUUGGCGGAAUGUCUGACAUCUGAUGAAUCUCGUGCAAGAUUAAAUGAAAUGGAAUCAACAAAAAUAAACAAACCUAAAAAAAAAUAACUUACUUUUUUAUAUGUUCCAGUAGAAAAUAUCAGAACUGAAUCUUUUUGAUAUCUUUUAAAUAACAAUUUUUUGUUAUGUUUUUAGCGCUAUUUUACAUUGUUUUUAA